GUGUCAGCAGCCGCGGUAAUACGGAGGGGGUUAGCGUUGUUCGGAAUGACUGGGCGUAAAGCGCGCGUAGGCGGGCUGGAAAGUUGGGGGUGAAAUCCCGGGGCUCAACCCCGGAAUGGCCUUCAAAACUCCCAGCCUAGAGUUCGAGAGAGGUGAGUGGAAUUCCGAGUGUAGAGGUGAAAUUCGUAGAUAUUCGGAGGAACACCAGUGGCGAAGGCGGCUCACUGGCUCGACACUGACGCUGAGGUGCGAAAGCGUGGGGAGCAAACAGGAUUAGAAACCCCCGUAGUCC
rnacentral:rRNA from 1 species